GUCAUAGAGUAGUAUUUAUUACACCCGAAUGUUAUUGCAUACAUUUUUGGGAAAAAUAUCUAAGGCCUUUGAGUUCCUUAAAUUCUAAUUGUCUCCUAUAUUAAAGUAUACUCAUUAUCUUAUUUUUUUGUCUGGACAAGAACUGAAAAAGAGAAAAAACUUGAAUUCGGAAUGAACAAUUCUUGCUAUAUGUAUUUCCCAUGUAUAUAAGGAAGGUUCUGUAGCUUUCCAAGAAAUACUGACUUGAACUAAAUACUGAACUACUAGCAAACUCUUGUGCAUAUUUGAAUGUUUUUAGUCAUUGGGAGCCAAUGGCAUUUCUUUUCUCUGUAUCACAAACUGUUAUGAAUAUUUCUUUUUACUAUUAACGUUGGACAAGACCUCCUGUUUUGUGACUGACUGGCAGGCAGAAAUAACAGGGACAGGAAAUGGGAAAUGGUUCAGGGACUUGGAAUUCCCCAAAUGCCUAAUUAAGUGGCUUGUUACUUGGAAGUUUUUGGAAUGUUUGCCCACUGGAGUUCCCCUGAGAAAAAGCAUCUGAUUUCAUUGACAGAGUAUCUUCACAGAACAUAAAUUAAGAAAUUCGCUCCUGCAAUACAACUUUUACUGCAUGUCACUGCUUUCUUGGCACUAGUGGAUGGGGAUAGGGAUAGGGGGGUGGGGGAGGGAGACAAAAUGUAACACCAAGAGUUCUUAUUUGCAAUUUUCUAUCAGUUAACUAAACUAUUUAAAACGUCACUGAUAAAUCGGCUCCUUUGUGGUUCACGUACGAUUUAAUGUAUACACACAUAUAUAAAUGUAUACUGUUUAUUUUAGUCCCAUUCAGAAAAAAUAGGGAGUGAAGACUGUCUGAAAUACCAUUCACGUCGCUAGCGAUGAGCUUUUGAAAUUAAGGACACUUUUUCGUUAGUGCAUAUGUCUCCAGAACAGAAAAACAAAGUUAAAAAAACAAGUUUAAAAAUCAAAGACAUACUGGUUGAUUAGAAAAGACCUAUUUAUAAUAUAAUCCCCAAGAGAUUAUAAAAUCAACAUUUCAAAGUUAAUCUGAUGCUGUUCUUACACUUUGCUUUUUUCCAUUUCCACCACCAGCUGUGAAUAUUUAUGUUAGGCAGCUGCGCUCCGAGGAAAAACGGUUACAACUGUUUUAAACGGUUACAAUUGUUUACUUAGUUGAAGCAAAAACGGUACUAGGUUGAGUCCAUCCUGAAAUGCAGUCAUCUAGGACCACGGGAAGCGUCACACUAGAGGAAUGUGGCCAGGAGUGGGAUCAAAUAACUGAGGUGACGCGAAGAAGAGGCGCAAAACCACCCGCGCACGGGUGUUUCCCCAGGGUUCCCCAAGAUUCAAACUCUUCGGCUCACGGUUUGCCACGUUCCCCUCGGGAGAAUGUUAGGGACAGAGAGAGAGAAGGAAGGGUCAAAAGUACUCAAACCGCGAGAUUUAAAAUGGAAAACGCCUCGCUGAUUGAAGCCGCCUGGUCCCGUCCCGCGGGCUGACCAACUGCCUGCCUCUCAAAGCGCGGCGGGUCCUUCCUCCGACCGUAGGCUCCGCGGCGCCCUCGAGUGGCGGCGACGCAGCCCCCGGAUAGGCGUGAUGACGUCACCAUGCGUCGGCGGCGUCCCUGCCAGCGCUGGGGGCUUCGGGAUAGCUGAUCCGGAGCCGGCUGGGCUACAUCUUUCGUCCGCGCCGUUGCUGUCGGGUGUGAGGAAGCCGCCUUGCAGCCGCGCCGUUUCCGUGUGAGCUGCGCCUGCUCCGAGAUUUAUAACCCCGAAGAGACUACUUUUUUCCUCUCAUUUUUUUCUGCUGCAGUAAUAAAUCCCAUUAUGGAGACCUAGAAAUUUUAUAAA